UGAUAGCUGUGAAGCGUGAGGUUGCCGUCUCAAGAGGAUGGGUUUUCCGUGGAGCGAAAGUCAUGUUACUAAACUGGCGACAA
rnacentral:ncRNA from 2 species